rnacentral:rRNA from 1 species
CUAAGCGUACACGGUGGAUGCCCUGGCAGUCAGAGGCGAUGAAGGACGUGCUAAUCUGCGAAAAGCGCCGGCGAGGUGAUAUGAACCCUUGACCCGGCGAUGUCCGAAUGGGGAAACCCAGUGUGUUUCGACACACUAUCGUUAACUGAAUACAUAGGUUAACGAGGCGAACCGGGGGAACUGAAACAUCUAAGUACCCCGAGGAAAAGAAAUCAACCACUUUGUGAUUCAUGACUGGGGUGAAGUCGUAACAAGGUAACCGUAGGGGAACCUGCGGUUGGAUCACCUCCUUACCUUAAAGAACCUGCCUUUGCAGUGCUCACACAGAUUGUCUGAUGAAAAGUAAAUAGCAAGGCGUCUUGCGAUUGAGACUGUACGUCCCCUUCGUCUAGAGGCCCAGGACACCGCCCUUUCACGGCGGUAACAGGGGUUCGAAUCCCC